rnacentral:tRNA from 1 species
UCUGUGGUGGUCCUAUGGCUAAAACUCUGCACUCCCAAUGCAGGGGGCCCAGGUUCGAUCCCUAGUUGGAGAA